rnacentral:tRNA from 1 species
CAAAAUAUAGUAUUAAAGAAAGCACUUCUUUUACAAUGAAGAGAUUAUUGAUUGUUCAAUAUAUUUUGA